UACGAAGGUGGCAAGCGUUGUUCGGAUUUACUGGGCGUACAGGGAGCGUAGGCGGUUGGAUAAGCCCUCCGUGAAGUCUCCAGGCUUAACCUGGAAAGUGCAGGAGGGACUGUUCAGCUAGAGGAUGGGAGAGGAGCGCGGAAUUCCCGGUGUAGCGGUGAAAUGCGUAGAGAUCGGGAGGAAGGCCGGUGGCGAAGGCGGCGCUCUGGAACAUUUCUGACGCUGAGGCUCGAAAGCGUGGGGAGCAAACAGG
rnacentral:rRNA from 1 species